GACCAAGGAGUCUAGCAUGUGCGCGAGUCAUUGGGACUCUGAUAAACCUAAAGGCGUAAUGAAAGUGAAGGCGUCGACGCCCUCCGGGGCGCCGCGCCGAGGGAGGAUGGGUCCGUUCGCGAACGGACCCCGCACUCCCGGGGCGUCUCGUUCUCAUCGCGAGGAGAGGCGCACCCAGAGCGUACACGCUGGGACCCGAAAGAUGGUGAACUAUGCCUGGUCAGGACGAAGUCAGGGGAAACCCUGAUGGAGGUCCGUAGCGAUUCUGACGUGCAAAUCGAUCGUCUGAACUGGGUAUAGGGGCGAAAGACUAAUCGAACCUUCUAGUACGUGGUUCCUUCCGAA
rnacentral:rRNA from 1 species